rnacentral:rRNA from 1 species
UACAGAGGGGGCAAGCGUUGUUCGGAAUUACUGGGCGUAAAGAGCGUGUAGGCGGCCAGUUAGGUCCGUUGUGAAAACUCGAGGCUCAACCUCGAGACGCCGAUGGAAACCAACUGGCUAGAGUCCGGAAGAGGAGAGUGGAAUUCCCGGUGUAGCGGUGAAAUGCGCAGAUAUCGGGAAGAACACCCGUGGCUAAGGCGGCUCUCUAGUACGGUACUGACGCUGAGACGCGAAAGCGUGGGGAGCAAACAGG